GAUGAACGCUGGCGGCGUGCCUAAUACAUGCAAGUCGAGCGAACAGACGAGGAGCUUUCUCCUCUUACGUUAGCGGCGGACGGGUGAGUAACACGUGGAUCACCUACCUAUAAGACUGGGAUAACUUCGGGAAACCGGAUCUAAUACCGGAUAAUAUAUUGAACCGCAUGGUUCAAUAGUUAAAGACGGUUUUGCUGUCACUUAUAGAUGGAUCCGCGCCGCAUUAGCUAGUUGGUAAGGGAACGGCUUACCAAGGCAACGAUGCGUAGCCGACCUGAGAGGGUGAUCGGCCACACUGGAACUGAGACACGGUCCAGACUCCUACGGGAGGCAGCAGUAGGGAAUCUUCCGCAAUGGGCGAAAGCUGGACGGAGCAACGCCGCGUGAGUGAUGAAGGUCUUCGGAUCGUAAAACUCUGUUAUUAGGGAAGAACAAAUGUGUAAGUAACUAUGCACGUCUUGACGGUACCUAAUCAGAAAGCCACGGCUAACUACGUG
rnacentral:rRNA from 1 species